rnacentral:rRNA from 1 species
GUGCCAGCCGCCGCGGUAAUACCGGCAGCCCGAGUGAUGGCCGCUGUUAUUGGGCCUAAAGCGUCCGUAGCCGGCCGAACAAGUCUGUCGGGAAAUCCAUCCGCCUAACGGAUGGGCGUCCGGCAGAAACUGUUCGGCUUGGGGCCGGAAGAUCCGAGGGGUACGUCUGGGGUAGGAGUGAAAUCCUGUAAUCCUGGACGGACCGCCGGUGGCGAAAGCGCCUCGGAAGGAUGGACCCGACGGUGAGGGACGAAAGCUGGGGUCUCGAACCGGAUUAGAUACCCUUGUAGUCC